UACGUAGGGUGCAAGCGUUAAUCGGAAUUACUGGGCGUAAAGCGUGCGCAGGCGGUUAUAUAAGACUGUUGUGAAAUCCCCGGGCUCAACCUGGGAACUGCAUCUGUGACUGUAUAGCUAGAGUACGGUAGAGGGGGAUGGAAUUCCGCGUGUAGCAGUGAAAUGCGUAGAUAUGCGGAGGAACACCGAUGGCGAAGGCAAUCCCCUGGACCUGUACUGACGCUCAUGCACGAAAGCGUGGGGAGCAAACAGG
rnacentral:rRNA from 1 species